rnacentral:rRNA from 1 species
CCUUGUCAUUAUGAGGAAGUAAAAAGUCGUAACAUUUCUGUAGGUGAACCUGCAGAAGGAUCAUUA